rnacentral:rRNA from 1 species
AGAGUUUGAUCNUGGCUCAGGACGAACGCUGGCGGCGUGCUUAACACAUGCAAGUCGAACGAUGAAGCCCUUCGGGGUGGAUUAGUGGCGAACGGGUGAGUAACACGUGGGCAAUCUGCCCUUCACUCUGGGACAAGCCCUGGAAACGGGGUCUAAUACCGGAUAAUACUGCGGAUCGCAUGGUCUGCGGUUGAAAGCUCCGGCGGUGAAGGAUGAGCCCGCGGCCUAUCAGCUUGUUGGUGGGGUGAUGGCCUACCAAGGCGACGACGGGUAGCCGGCCUGAGAGGGCGACCGGCCACACUGGGACUGAGACACGGCCCAGACUCCUACGGGAGGCAGC